rnacentral:lncRNA from 1 species
UGAUCUUUAGGGUCUUGGGCUCAAUUGCACUGGAACAGCAUGCUUGGCAGGGAGAGGAGAACUUUGUAAUGGGAAUGGAUCCAUGGGGAAUGAUUUAGAGCAAGGUAACUUUAAGGCUUGUUGUGAAAGUUAAGCAGUAAUUGAGUUUGUGGAUGUGGAGCUCUUUCAGAUGGGUAUAGUGCCUGUAUUCAUAAGCAGCUUUUGGAAAAGCUUCAGUGAGAGGAUUGUCUAAUGGAUACCAAACACAAAUGAAAAUAGGCUUACAACAACAACAACAACAACAACAACAACAACAACAACUACUUAUUGGUAAACUCUCUUGUGAACCUUUUAGUGAAAUGUUGUAUAAAAAUGGUUUCAACAAAUAAGUAAAGAUGAUUUGCGUAAUAUCUCCAAAGGACAAAUCUUAAAGCUCAGAUCAAUAAUAUAUGAACACUUUCCACAUCAACACCUUCCAUGGAUCUUCUGGGAAAGUUCUAAGGCAAAUACUCAGCCCAUGUGGGCAUGUUGGUUCUCCUGUGUGAAUUGCACAUGUGCCAUAGAACAUUUCCCUGUAGCUAAAUAGUCCAGCAGAAGAGUGGCAUGAGUGGGCAUCUGAGACACAUGAGGGUUCCCUUAAAUAUGGCAUGUGAUUGGACAGCAAAACCUAAGUCUCAUGUACAACCUCGUUAUCUUGCAAUGAUAUUUAACUAGGAGGGAGUCCAUGGCAGACAACAGAACUGAAACAGGGUUUUUGUCAAAUUUGAAACUGAAAAUUCACCUGUGGAAUCAUACUUUGAGCUUGAGCACUGAAAUUUAGAGGAUUAGAUAAUUCAUUUGUGCUUCAACUCCAGCUGGUAGUUUUAUCCGUAUCUGAUAUAAUACUACAUUAUGAUAAAAACUAGCAAAGGUGAGAGGUGCUUUAGAGCACAUUAGUCUUUAAGAGCCAAUAGGCACAGAUGCAUUAGACUGCUUCAUCCCUGUCUAAUAUUUAUUAAGCCAAAAAAGGGGGGGGGAGCCUUGGUGUUAUGGCAACUCAAUACAGCUCCUGCUAUUAAACCUUUACUCAGAGGUGGGGAACAGCCAGCCAGGUUUGUGUGUGUUUAUAUAUGCGGAUUAUAAAGUGUGGGGAUUAGUAUAGAGUGAUUACAGCAUUUCAACUGUAUAUUAAGUGCCUGAAACAAUAUCCAAGCAGUCAAGAGUGCUGUAUGCAUUAUGGUUGAGUGUCAUAGCUGACAUUUCUAAUAUCCAUUAUUCAAAAAUUGAUUCCAUGCCUGACUAUCAUGCAUCAUCCAGCCACAAUAUAGGACAAGUAAUACAUGGCAGCACCUCAAUCUCGGCUAAGAGCUUUGCAAACAUUAUCUAGUUCAUCCUGCCCAAGUUUAAUGUCUCUUCAGUGAAUCAGGUAAGUGUAGCACCACACUUUAGGGAUGACAGCAGAAGUCAGGUGCUUUUUUCCCUCAUGCCUAACCUUUAUAAAUGCAUUAGUGCUGCGAUUAAGAACUUCUUUCACUUUUGUUUCAUGCCUUGUGAUAACAGCGGGGCAGUGGUUAGAAGGAUUCCUAGGCAUUUGGAGGCAACGGUAUAAGGCUUCCCUGUCUUCCCACAUUGCCCUUCAGACCAGCUCCAUAUCCACCUGUACCCUCCUCUGAAUUCCAUUGUCCUCUCCAGUCCUUCUUUUGCUCUGCCAUGGUCCAUAGCAUCCUGCCUAGAGCACAGGUAGCCAACUCUAGAAGCCCCAUCUUCCCUGGUCACUGGCUAUGCAGGCUGAGGCUGAAGGGAGUUGAACAACAUGUGGAAAUCAUAUUUGCUUACCUGGUCUACAGUAUACUGUAGUCCCUAUCUUGCUUUGCACCUCAAGGAUGAAACUUGCAGCAGCAGUGGGAUAAAUACCCUGGGCAGAUGUUGCAUUUGUCCAAGAAUGGGACCAUUUCUGGAAUGAAUAGUGCUCAACUGCUCUGUAAUAGUAAAAAAUCAGUUCCACCAUUGUUGUUGUUGUUGCUGCUGCAGUUGCUAUAUUCCACUUUUUGCUAAUAGUAAGCACAAAGCUUCUUUCAAGUUAAAAACAAGUCUCAUCCAUUGUAUGCGAUGUGACCUAUAACUCAGCAUUGUAUGCUGCUUUCACAGUGAUUCAUUUAUUACAAGCAUUGCUGGAAUAUUCCCUCUAAGCCACCAUGUAUUGGUGAAAUAAAUACUACGUUAGUAUGACUAUUGGUUUGAUUGAUAAGCUAGUAAUGAGUAAUAACGUUGAAUCAAUAUGAAUGAACAAGACAUUAUCACUUUAUCAUGAUACACACAAUAUACACACAAUACGCACAAUAUUUCCCUACUUUGGAUGUAUGAGGUUUUUUUUUUUGAAAACUCAGAGUGAGUCUGGUCCAAACAGUAAGUUACAUGGAGAGAGCUGAUGCGUUAGAAUUGGGCUGGGAAGAUGAAUUGAAAUCUCAGCUAUGAACUUUUUUGCUUGACUGGCUGAGUCAUUAUUCCUCCUGGGCUUCAGCUGCUUGUUUGUAGAAUGGUAAGAGUAGUGCAUAGGAGCUUAGGAAGCUGGCUUAUACCAAGUAAGACCAUUGGCCCAUCUAACACAGUAUUGUCUUCACUGAUUGGCAGUGGCUGUCCAGGGUUUCAGGCAGCGAGUCAUUCCAAGCCCUAUCUGGAGACCCUCAAGGAUUGAACCCGGGACCUUCUGAGUGCAAAGCAAAUGCUCUACCAUUGAGCUAGAGCCCUUUCCCAACACUAAUCAAUAGCGUAAGACUGUUGACAAGAUCACUGAGAUAAGGGCUGUAGAGCCAAAAUUGCAUUACACUUACUAUGGAGUAAGUCCUCUUGAACUCAUUGAAACAGGAUGAAUAGGAUUAGGCUAUUUUGCCUAGCUAAAGUGUUUAAAUCAUGAUUACUAGCAGUUAUUAUUGCUUCUACAGGCAAAUAGAUCCCUUGAUUCACUUCUAUACAAAGUUUAGAUAUUUGUGCUUCCUUGAUUUUCAUUUUUCUGGGUGUAUGGAAUUCUCUGACACAAUAACUCUGUAUUCCUCAAUGUGACCCUUUUCUGCUACCACCCAUUCUCAGAAUACUUUCGAAACCUCCCAGUAGGUUGAUAUAUAAUAGGCUUAGGUGUGAGAUCAACAAGCAAGCUCUAAAAUAAUGCUGUGUGGCCUCUCAUGGGGUGUAUCCACUAAAUUGGGUUAAAGGGGGAAUAAACCUUACCCUCCAAUCUGACACAUGCCUCCUAGGCUAAAGCAAACCCCAUUGAAGUAAUUUGGAAAGUCUUCUAAGCAAAGAUGCUUAGGAUCAGGCUGGACGUCUUAACAGAGGUUUGACACCCUUUGCAAUUUGUUUGAAAAUCUUUUUCUCCCAUCCAGUCCUCCCACUCCCAGCCUGACUUGGUUAUAAUACAACUGAAUAAUGUCCUUGGGUCUGAGAUUCCAUUUCAGUUUUAAAAUAAUGUUAAGGUCGUCUAAAAAAAAAAAAAGAUAAACUUGAAAGCAACCUGCCCCUUUAAGAAAGGAUUGGUCUUAAUCUAUUUCCAGCGUACAAGAGAUCAGCUCAGGAUUGCUGGGACACUUCCACUGACACAAAUCUACAUAAUCGUUUUAAAAUUCUCACCAUUUCUUCCGAUUAUUCUCUUUCUGUCACUUUAGGAAGCUCUAAAACUGAUUUUCUCUCCGUAAUCUUCCAGUAUUGCUUAGCACCCAAAUCUCUAAUAUUUUAAGAAGAUUAUUUCAUUUAUAAUUGAUUGAGUGUAUUUGCCAGAUUGGUACUUCAAAGAUGUUGUGCUUUUUUAAAAAAAAAAAAAAAGUAGGGGGCUCAGGUAGCACAGUAUUACCCUGUUGUGCAACCCCGGCCUGUCUCCCUACCCCACCGAAGUUUCGCAUCUCUCCCCAUCGCACGGUCUAUGCAUUUAUUUACAUUAUCAGCUGAGCAGCUGAAAAAGCUUGCUGAGGAUAAAAAGCAAGCAGGGAUGACUCAAAAUAGCAAAUCAGGCAAAGAGUUACUUUAAUUGUCACCUACUGGCAAAGCAGAAACCCCUUUGGUUCCUUCUCUAGUGUGCUUUUUCACGGCACAGUGCUUCUCCCUCAGUGUCAAGGCUCUUUCUAACAAUGAUUGGAAUUAAAGAAUCUUCUAGCGAUAUUUUUGACAACUUCAGUACUUAAUGAAAGUUGGGAGACCUUGAACAAAGCUCAUCUGGCCUAGGUGAAUAUGCGAAGGGGCUGCAACGAAAUGUUGCCGUGUGGAAAUCUCCUGUUCAGUCUUCCAGCUUUUAUUCAGAGUAUGUGACUCCAUUUCCCCUCCCCUAUCCCACUCCCAGCUUUUUAUCCCUCCCAACAGCCAGUAAUCAUGGGCAGCAUAUUUAGUCCUCGUUGAUUGUGGUUGUUUUUAUGUUGCCCUUGUUUUCUCCUCUGAGAUUUUACCCCUAAAGUUUUCAUAUGUUUCUCCAAAAUAAAUCCUCGGGACUUCUCUGAGCCUGCUGAUGCCUUUCUCUUGUGAAUGGACGGUGCUUGUUUUGGCUACGUAACGACCACCGCUUUGAGUAUGUGUUUGACGUCCUUGGGCAUGGGGAAGAUGGAGGAGUCAUUCUGGCUUUUAGCUGUUGCAUCUGAUACAUAGGCCUCUAAUGAUAAAUGUUGGGUCCUGAAGAAGACAAUUCCCAUGCCCCCCCCUUGUCUUUCAAAGAGUUCCAGGGCAGCUUCUUUCAAAGAGUUGUCAUGGAGCCAGUAACAGAGUGGCAUAUCACCUCCCACAGCCCUUCUGUUUUAUAAGUCCUUCUUCCGCCACACACCCAUUUUUGCUUUGUGAGAUGAACGGUGGUGUAGUGGGGUGGGGAAUGCAGGUGAGUGCAGCGCCAAUACUUUUUUCAGCGUAGAAAUGAUGACAUCAUCUGCCCGAGGGCCAGCGUCAUUGUCAAGCCCUCCUUGCUCUGGCAAGCAAAUGAGAUGAGCUGUCCCAAGUGUGUAUAUUAUAUUCUUCCAUUUCUAGAAAACAUUUCAUCGGUAAAGAUCACAGUGUGAUUCAUAAUAUGUCAUAAAGUAAUAAAAGACAAUAUUAUUUGUGACAGAUUAACGUAGAGAAGGUGAAAGAACGAGAAAAAUAAUCAAGUAGAGGUUGGGUACUUACCCCCUUUCCUUUGAUAGGGUUCCAACUUCAAGAUAGCAAUUAAAAUGGUAAAGCUUCUUUGCUAAUUUGUUUGUGUCUCUAAUUAAAAGUUAAAGGUUGCAUUUCAGUUGGCUUUAUAAGUUGAACCUAUACAAUCAGAAGCAAGCACUGCUGAGUUCAAUGGAACUCACUCCCAGGAAACUACAUCCAGUGGUACCUUGGGUUAUAUACGCUUCAGGUUGCAUACGCUUCAGGUUACACACUCCGCUAACCCAGAAAUAGUGCUUCAGGUUAAGAACUUUGUUUCAGGAUGAGAACAGAAAUCGGGUUUCGGCAGUGCGAUGACAGCAGGAGGCCCCAUUAGCUAAAGUGGUGCUUCAGGUUAAGAACAGUUUCAGGUUAAGAAUGGACCUCUGGAAUGAAUUAAGUACUUAACCCGAGGUACCACUGUAUAGGUUUGAUUCUAAUAAAUGAUGAAUUAUGCUAUGUGUUGCUGCUCUCUGGUGUGUGUGUUAUAUAUAAUGGAUCCUUGUUCACAUAACUAGUUCUGUUGUGAUCCCUUGUGGAUUCUCCUUCAUGGAAAGUGGUAAUGUAGACAGAGGACACUACAGAUACAGAUUCAUUUUAUUAUAAAUAAAUAUGUACCGGUACCUUGCACAGCCACCUUGGUGGACCUGCAACUGCUGUCCUUGCUCCUGUGGCCCAGAAUCAGUGUCCAGGGUGAGGGCACGGGAUCAGUUCUGCAGCUCCAAUGACACUGCUUAGCUCCUGACAGUCCUGCUUCUGUGUGUCACAUUCCUCCAGGGGUUUGCCUGCUGCAAUGGGCAACCUUCCUCCUACCUAGGGGCACCCCACAUGUGUUGCUGUUUCAGGACAGUCCACUGUGCUUUAUCAAGAAAUUCCUCAUUUUGCCCAGUAGCUCAAAGUGUGGAUAGGCAAGUUGCUUUACCUUGUCUUCCAGCAAGUCAGCAAGCUUGCACUUGCUGCAGGUGUAGCUUUGCACAUUCUCAGGCAGGAAGACAAACAGAGCACAGGGGCUGCAGGUCCUGGAGCAGAUCCCUUGCUGUCCAUGUCUCUUGGUUCUACAUACACCGUGAGAUAGCACUCCAGGCCUCCCCCUCAAAACGCCCUCACAAACACCUCUGCUUCAUAUUACUUGCCGGAACAAUGAUGAAUUAUUGUUGCUCCUAUUUCCCAGUUGGAUAACGAUACGAUACGAUAUGAUAUCUUUAUUGUCAUUGUCCCAUGCAGAACAAUGAAAUUGAAAAACAACAUAAAACUACAUAAAAACUACAUAAAACUACAUAAAAACUACAUAAAACUACAUAAAAACAACUACAUAAAACUACUACAAAACUACAUAAAACUACAUAAAAACUACAUAAAACAUUCAAAAACCCCCUAAAAACUUGUUAUAAAAACGAGAGGUUAUAAACUGAGGUACUUGGUCUAACUUUGCCACUUUGCCUGCUGGAUUUUAAACAUAGUUUGGAUAUAGUUUGUUGAGGCUCUUGCUCACGUGAUUACAUGAUACAUAUAUGUCUAUUCCUAGGAUUAUCAGUGCAGAAACCUACAAGAUGAUGGAAGGAUCACAUCUGUGAAAAACUGAAAUACAACACUGAAUUACGAUUCACAUUAUUGCCAUAUGUGAUUAUAUACUUGGGCAUGCCAACUGUACUUUUGGAAACAGAUAAUUAACAGCAAAAUAUCCUAUGCGUGGGACACGGGUGGCACUGUGGGUUAAACCACAGAGCCUAGGACUUGCUGAUCAGAAGGUCGGUGGUUUGAAUCCCCGCAACGGGGUGAGCUCCCGUUGCUUAGUCCCUGCUCCUGCCAACCUAGCAGUUCGAAAGCACGUCAAAGUGCAAGUAGAUAAAUAGGUACCGCUCUGGCGGGAAGGUAAACAGCGUUUCCGUGCGCUGCUCUGGUUUGCCAGAAGCAGCUCAGUCAUGCUGGCCACAUGACCCGGAAGCUGUACUCCGGCUCCCUCGGCCAGUAAAGCGAGAUGAGCACCGCAACCCCAGAGUCGGCCACGACUGGACCUAAUGGUCAGGGGUCCCUUUACCUUUACCUUUAUCCUAUGCAUGCUUCAGUCCAUUGAAUUGAAUGGAUAUACAGGUAUAUACAAAUCAUAAGCACUGGGCUUUAUUCUCCUGACUUCUUAAUUUGCAUCCAUAAAAAGGUAUCAGUAGCUGUUUCAGUGUUUCCUACUAAACUAAAGCUAUGCUUAGAGUUUCACAACUCCUGGAACUUUGCUCCACUCCUACCUUUGUUCAGUAUAUGAGGUUCACUGAGUCCCCCACAUUUAUCACACUGGCACAAGGUUUUUACCACUAGGCAUGAUGAGUGACCACCCAAAACAUUCACGUAAUGUAUUUCCAAAGCUGAAAGGAAAUGCAAGAUGUGUAAGUUUUAUUAGAUGCAAUAGUCUGGACAAUUUUUGCUCUAUAGAUCUCAUAAAAUGAAUUAAGCAUUAAGGGUGACACAGAUCAUACCUCUUAUUCCUUUGAAGUGCAAAGUUUUGCAUGCUACAAGAGGGAGACUACCUAUGCAAUACCUUUGGAAGCAGUGAACAAUUUGUAACUGUUGUAUGCCAUAUCUAGUUCUGUUUUAAUUUUUUCUCCCAUUUUUUAAGCAAUUAUCCGUCAGUUAAUGAGAAAAUAAAUUGCAUUAGAAAAUUGACAAAGGGAAGAUAAAUUUUCAGUGAACUUAUGGCUGCAGAGUUCCCCGCCCCCCAUGCUUACCUUAUUUUUGAGGUGGCUGAAGGAUGUAUGUGAAUGUCUUUUUGUUUCAUACUUCAAAUCAUCUUACCACUGCUCUUCACAUUGCAGCCUCCCAGGGUGCUUCAAUCAAGACUUAGGCUAGGGGAAUAUAUCGUGAUAUAACUCCUCCCACAAGGCUUCUUCAGAUCUGAAGGUGUGGGCAGCCAGGGACACUGUGGAGAGCUAGAUAAAUGUUCACAGGAAAGGAAUAAAAAAAUCAAACCCAGUUAACUUGAAGCCCUGCACCCACAGAAAUUAUACAGUACCCUGAGAAUAAGACAGGAAAAUUGAAGCCUCUUUUGCAGUGCAAGAAAAUAUUUGAGAAACUGGAGGUGAAGUUUCAGCAUAGCACCAGCCAUACCAAGAAGUCCUUGCUGUGUUUACUUAUAGAUAGCUGCUAUUCUUUUUCCAAGUGAUAUUUAAAGGAUAUUCAUUAGCAAUGUAGUCUACCAUCAGUUUGUAAAAUAACAGGUGCUAGGAUUCAAGUGUGCCUGAAAAUCACAUUUAUGGUCCAGAAGCCUUUUCCCUUCAUGACAGAUGUGUUGGAGAAAUCUUUAGAUACACUGUGGUGCAAGGAUAGUGUUCUCGAAGCUACCAGCAUGAGUCUGACCAAACUGCGGGAGGCAGUGGAAGACAGGAGUGCCUGCCGUGCUCUGGUCCAUGGGAUCAUGAAGAGUCGGACAAGACUAAAUGACUAAACAACAACAACAAUGUGGUGCAAGGAAAACAUUUUGCCCAUGUCCAUAGCAUGCUGCUGUUCAAUCUUGCAUCACCAUCUCCAAUGCCUCAGGUCAGAACAGGAGGGGCAGGAGUUGGCAUGCCCAAGUAUAUAAUCACAUAUGGCCAACGAUUUUGAGAGGGCCUACAGAGGCAAAGUGAGAGCGUGCAUCCCUUUAACAUCCUUGGUCAAAAGUUGCUCCAACAGAAAACAGUCCUUCAUCCUACUUUGUCCCUCAUUUGCUAUGAUUCAGAUUUCAUCCAGAAAUGUAACCCCGAGGCACCUUUCCUCACUUCCUCUUUCACUUAUCUGAACCAAAAGUGCUGACAUAAGCGAGAAGAUUCCCUUUCAUUUUAGUCAGCUUUGAAGAUCACUGACCCACAGUCUGUUUGCCUGCAAUGCUCAGAUGUGUUUGAAUUGAAAAUACAGGCCAGACAUGCAUUUGCUCUGUAUCCAUUGUUCCACAGUUAGCUGGGAACUGCAUUUCAUUACAUCAUCCUUCUAGGAACACAAGAACAAAGAAGGACCCGGAUGGAUCAGACCAAAAGUCCACCUAGUCCAGCAUCCUGCCCUCCCACUAACCAACGAGAUGCUUAUUAGAAGGCUGAAAGAGCACUUUCUCCACUUCUGAUUAGCAGAAGGGCAUGCUCACUGCCUCUGACACUGGAUGUAAUUCAUAUCUAUUAAGGCUGUGUACAAGCCUCCCAAAGUAAUUUGGGGCCUGAUGCAGUGCUUUGGAACAACCCUGAUCUGAUCCAGGAUGACCUGACCCAAAUCCAGUCCUCAAACCUACCCAGGCACAGCCAUGAAGCCAGGGGGGAGGAUGGCAUGGCCAAGAGGCAAGGUGAGGCCACUGCCUUGGGAUGCAGGAUCCACAGGGGUAGCAGAUCCCAAUGAAGAUCUUCAUUCCACCCACUCCCCAACCCCUUGUUCCUGUUGUAGAUCUUCACUUACCCCUUCUUCCCCGGUGGGGAAGGUGGUGGCAUUUUAUGGUUUGCCUCAGAUGCACAAAUGUAUUGGGCCGGCCUGGGGGUGGGAGAAGAGGCCUGCCUCUCCUUCUCCACCUCCCAACCAUAUGUUUAAUUAAACAUGUGGUUGAGAGGUAGCCCCAUGCAGGAUGCACACACUGUUAGAAUUCCUGCUCCAUGAUUGCAGUCAUAGGACUGUUGUCUUUCACAUGAUGGUAUGUGUUUUGACUCCACAGAGUGGGAAAUGACGGAGACAGGAUGUUUGUGUUACUGUGUUCCAUGAAGUGAGACUAUUGUCCUUUGUUCUUUUUCUCUUUGCUGCCUGAUGCUAGAGAGAGAGGGAGCCAUGUUGCAGUGCUCUGUGUGUGUUUAUAUCUAAAUAAAGUAGAUUAGCCAAAAUGCUGAGUUGCUGAGGUCUGUUACGCAAAGCUGCAAAGACUCUGCGGAUUCCUAAGUGUGCCAGUGUUGGUUGGCAUCGGUCGCUGUGAUGUUCGGGCAGAAGAAAGCUUUUGAAGCUCCUGAAUGAUUGACCACGAGGGAGGGAACAUGCCAGUUGGGCAUGUUUCUCUGCUAGGGUCCUACUCGAGUGUAGGCUGAACUUCUGAUGCACACAUCUCCUCACCCCCUGCCUUCCUUGCACCAGAUUCAACCCAGGUCAGUCUGGGACUGAUUGAACCUGAUCCACACAAAUCCCAGGUCAAAUCAAAUUGGCCUGAUUUAGUUCAGGAUCUGGGAUCUGGCUAGCUCCAGGGCACAGCCUGAAUACCCAUCCUGGUUAGUAUUCACUGACAGCCUUAUCCUUUGUGAAUUUGGAUGAAGAGAUUUGUAUGGAAACUUUUCCUGUUCCACCCACCCACAAAUAAUUCAGGUGCAUCUAUGGAGGGUUUGUGGCUGUUGUUUUGGUCAAUGUUGCAUAAUAUCAACAUUGGCUCCAUGCUUGCCUUCCUGCUGCCCUUAUCUGAUGGCCAAAUAUGCAGGGGACCAAGGAAGUGGGUAGGGGUGAGGUGUGCAUGGAUGGAGAGGAUUAGACGUGGCAAACAAGCCAAUCCGUCUGCUCAAACAAUCCAUGUGCUCAUACCUUUAGAAGAGUCACUGACGGCACAACUUGGUUAGCUUAAAAAUGAAUGCAGCAACAAGUAAACAAUUAAACAAACAGAUAAGAGAUUGACACACAAUUGGUUAAAAUAGAUAAAUACCCUAGAGAUUUUGGUGAGUUGAGUUGUAAAUUAGCAACUGUCAGAUCUAUGCUAGCCUAUGAACCUAUUAAAUGCUGCCCGCUGCAAGAAGAGACUGAUCUCAGGGAGUAUGAAAACCCAGUGCUAAAUUAAUCAGAUACAAGUGGUCCUAUGAAUAUUAGAAACAGUUGUGGGACAAGCAAAAAGAUACAGAUUUAUGUUUUCAAACCCAUCCUAAAAAAUAGUCCAUCCUAAAAAAUAGUCCAAUUGACACAUCUGUGUGUUUAAGUAUUAAAGUAGGUGUAUUUGAAUUUUGCAUCCAUGGGGAAAUAUUGGAACGGUCUCUUUCUUUAAAAGAAGUAGCUAUUUUCCAUUUUCAAAGAACGAGUGUGAGGGAAGAUCACCUAAAAGAGGUAGAUAAUGAUUUGCCAGCCACACCUUCUGUUACAGUAAAAUAAGCAAUGCUUGAAAGAGACAUGGAAACAGCCUUCUUCAAAUCCAAUUCAGGGAUUUGGAAUCCCCACUAAACGCUUAAUUAAUUUUUGAUUAGCUUGAGAACCCAUUAAACAGACUGAUUCUUCUAGCUUUAUAAAGGAUGGCAGCAUGCUGCUUUAAUUAAAUUAAUACUAAAAGAUGUUCAUUUUCAAAUCCUUAUGUUGGUUAUUUGAGAAAAAAUCAUUCCAUUUCAUUUCCUCUAAGAGGUUUACCAUGUUCUUUUCUCCAAUACACUUCAAAUAUCUUUCUUUUCACAUUAUUCUGUUUGGGAUGCCUUUGCCACUGCCUUCACGCAUAGUAAGCCAAUUCACAGAUUCAUAGGGACCGUGAAGCUCAGAUGCAUCCUCCGAGGUCAUCAAGGCUGACCCCCACCAGCUCUUGCACCACACUUUUCUCUGAACUUUCUCCUUUGAUAACAAUAUUCAGACAUUUCCUCGAUUAUGGGUAUCUACAUGCAUCACAUCUGAAAGAUUCUCCUCCAAGCAAUUGCUAAACCCAUAUUCUGAGUUAGAUUUGAUAGGUCAACAUUUCCGCGAAUAAGAGGCACAGGGUCUUGGCAAAGAUGUGAAUGUUUUGAAAUGAGACAUAUGCUACAAAAUAUGAGAAUUAACGCAAACAAAGACUCAUUCUGUAAUCCUGGGUUCAGCUGCCAUCACUAACUAUCUCUUUAUAUUUUACAGUAGUUUGAUCAGAGGUCUGGGAUACAACAAGAGUGAGAGAAAUAUGAAACUCACUUGUUUCUUGAGGCACUCAACUUCUCACUUGCCAGUGAAAAUCAGUGCUCCCAUCUGAAUAAUUGCACCCUUGGGUCUGUUUCUUGGUCACAGUAGGGUGUGACAGACCGCUGGAAUGUCUACCUUAAAGCUCUAAGCUGGAGGGAAAACCAGAAAACCUGGGGGCAAGAGAGAAAUGAAAUGGAGUAUUCUGAAAGUGGACAUACCUACUGGCUAGAACCCUGAACAGGAGUACUCAAUUUUUCUUCAAGUCCCAC